rnacentral:rRNA from 1 species
UACGAAGGGGGCUAGCGUUGUUCGGAAUCACUGGGCGUAAAGCGCACGUAGGCGGAUCUUUAAGUCAGGGGUGAAAUCCCGAGGCUCAACCUCGGAACUGCCUUUGAUACUGGCGAUCUUGAGUCCGGGAGAGGUGAGUGGAACUGCGAGUGUAGAGGUGAAAUUCGUAGAUAUUCGCAAGAACACCAGUGGCGAAGGCGGCUCACUGGCCCGGUACUGACGCUGAGGUGCGAAAGCGUGGGGAGCAAACAGG